rnacentral:rRNA from 2 species
GGUUAAGCGACUAAGCGUACACGGUGGAUGCCCUGGCAGUCAGAGGCGAUGAAGGACGUGCUAAUCUGCGAUAAGCGCCGGUAAGGUGAUAUGAACCGUUAUAACCGGCGAUUUCCGAAUGGGGAAACCCAGUGUGACUCGUCACACUAUCAUUAACUGAAUCCAUAGGUUAAUGAGGCGAACCGGGGGAACUGAAACAUCUAAGUACCCCGAGGAAAAGAAAUCAACCGAGAUUCCCCCAGUAGCGGCGAGCGAACGGGGAGGAGCCCAGAGCCUGAAUCAGCAUGUGUGUUAGUGGAAGCGUCUGGAAAGGCGCGCGAUACAGGGUGACAGCCCCGUACACAAAAGCGCAUGUGUUGUGAGCUCGAUGAGUAGGGCGGGACACGUG